rnacentral:rRNA from 1 species
AGGAUGCUGACGAGCGGCGGACGGGUGAGUAAUGCAUAGGAAUCUGCCCGAUAGUGGGGGAUAACCUGGGGAAACCCAGGCUAAUACCGCAUACGUCCUACGGGAGAAAGGGGGCUCCGGCUCCCGCUAUGGGAUGAGCCUAUGUCGGAUUAGCUGGUUGGUGAGGUAACGGCUCACCAAGGCCACGAUCCGUAGCUGGUCUGAGAGGAUGAUCAGCCACAUCGGGACUGAGACACGGCCCGAACUCCUACGGGAGGCAGCAGUGGGGAAUAUUGGACAAUGGGGGAAACCCUGAUCCAGCCAUGCCGCGUGUGUGAAGAAGGCCCUCGGGUUGUAAAGCACUUUCAGCGAGGAAGAACGCCUAGCGGUUAAUACCCGCUAGGAAAGACAUCACUCGCAGAAGAAGCACCGGCUAACUCCGUGCCAGCAGCCGCGGUAAUACGGAGGGUGCAAGCGUUAAUCGGAAUUACUGGGCGUAAAGCGCGCGUAGGUGGCUUGAUAAGCCGGUUGUGAAAGCCCCGGGCUCAACCUGGGAACGGCAUCCGGAACUGUCAAGCUAGAGUGCAGGAGAGGAAGGUAGAAUUCCCGGUGUAGCGGUGAAAUGCGUAGAGAUCAGGAGGAAUACCAGUGGCGAAGGCGGGCUUCUGGACUGACACUGACACUGAGGUGCGAAAACGUGGGUAGCAAACAGGAUUAAAUACCCUGGUAGUCCACGCCGGUAUACGAUGUCGACCAACCCGUUGGGUGCCUACCCCACUUUUUUGUCGAGCUUAACGCCGAUAAGUUCGACCGCCCUGGGGGAGUACGGACCGCCAACGCUGAAGACUCCCCCU